rnacentral:rRNA from 1 species
CCUACGUGGGACUGCAGUGGGGAAUAUUGCACAAUGGGGGAAACCCUGAUGCAGCGACGCCGCGUGAGUGAAGAAGUAAUUCGUUAUGUAACGCUCUAUCAGCAGGGAAGAAAAUGACGGUACCUGAGUAAGAAGCCCCGGCUAACUACGUGCCAGCAGCCGCGGUAAUACGUAGGGGGCAAGCGUUAUCCGGAUUUACUGGGUGUAAAGGGAGCGUAGACGGCAGUGCAAGUCUGGAGUGAAAGGCGGGGGCUCAACCCCCGGACUGCUCUUGAAACUGUACGGAUGGAGUGCAGGAGAGGUAAGUGGAAUUCCUAGUGUAGCGGUGACAUGCGUAGAUAUUAGGAGGAACACCAGUGGCGAAGGCGGCUUACUGAACUGUAACUGACGUUGAGGCUCGAAAGCGUGGGGAGCAAACAGGAUUAGAUACCCUAGUAGUC